rnacentral:rRNA from 1 species
UACGUAGGGGGCAAGCGUUGUCCGGAUUUAUUGGGCGUAAAGAGCGUGUAGGCGGUUUGGUAGGUCCGCUGUGAAAACUCGAGGCUCAACCUCGAGACGCCGGUGGAAACCACCGGACUAGAGUCCGGAAGAGGAGAGUGGAAUUCCUGGUGUAGCGGUGAAAUGCGUAGAGAUGUGGAGGAACACCAGUGGCGAAGGCGGCUUUCUGGUCUGUAACUGACGCUGAGGCGCGAAAGCGUGGGGAGCAAACAGG